rnacentral:misc_RNA from 1 species
UACGGAGGGUGCGAGCGUAAAACGGAAUUACGGGGCGAAAAGCGCGCGUAGGUGGCGUGAUAAGCCGGUUGUGAAAGCCCAGGGCUCAACCUGGGAACGGCAUCCGGAACUGUCAGGCUAGAGUGCAGGAGAGGAAGGUAGAAUUCCCGGUGUAGCGGUGAAAUGCGUAGAGAUCGGGAGGAAUACCAGUGGCGAAGGCGGCCUUCUGGACUGACACUGACACUGAGGUGCGAAAGCGUGGGUAGCAAACAGG